CCCCGGCCCAGGGGAGGAGCCCCCUGACACACCUGAACCGCUCAGGACCCCCACAGUCUAUGGGACCCCCGAACCACUUGGGACCUCAGCACCCUACAGGAAUCCCACAUCCUACGGGACCCCAAUAUCCCUUGGAACCCCGAUAUCCCACUGCACCCCCACAUUCCAUGAGACCCCGAUAUCCCAUAAGAGCUCCCCCUCCCAGGGGACCCCCACUUUCCAUGGGACCCCUGCUCCCCACAGCCCCCUCACAUCCUGCGGGACCCUAACACCCCACAGCUUCCCCACAUCCUAUGGGGCCCCCAGGUCCCAGGGGUCCCCCACACCCUAUGACACCCCAAAACCCUACGGGACCCUGGUGCCCCACGUGACCCUGACACUCCAUGGCCCCCCAGCAUCCCAGGGGUCCCCAACUUCCUAUGGGACGCCAGCACCCCGUGGCUCCCCAGUAUCUCCCGGGACUCCAACACUCCACGGGGUCACAGCACCCUAUGGGACCCCAAUAUCCCACAGGACCCCAAUAUCUCGGGGGUCCCCGACAUUCCAUGGCACCUCACUAUCCCAGAACACCUUGUUGCCCAAUAGCACCCCAGUAUCCCAGGGGACCUUGAUAUUCCAGGGGUCACCAAUACCCUACAGCCCCCCAGCUGGGACCCCAACAUCCCUGGAGACCCCAACACCAUAUGGGACCCCAACAUCCCAGGGUUCCCCAUCACCCUAUGGGACCCCACCAUCUCAUGGAUCCCCAGCAUCCCAGGGCCCUCACACUCCCCAUAGCCCCCCACCAGCCCAGAAGUCCCCAACAUCCUAUAGCCCUCCAAUAUCCCACAGCACUGCAGUAAUCCAUGAGACCCUGACACCCUAUGGGACAGCUAUAUCCCAGGAGACCUCAGCCCCCCACAGCCCCCCGACAUCCUACAGCCCCCCAAAGCCCCAUGGUGCUCCAGUAUCCCCUGGGGUCCCAAUCUCCCACAUCACCCCAAUAUCCGAGGCACUCCCAGCCCCCCACGGGACCCUGAUUUCCCAUGACCCCCCGGCA
rnacentral:lncRNA from 1 species